UACGUAGGUGGCGAGCGUUGUCCGGAUUUACUGGGCGUAAAGCGCGCGCAGGCGGUUCUGUAAGUCCUGGGUGAAAUCGCCCGGCUCAACUGGGCGGGGGCCUGGGGGACUGCGGGACUGGAGGGGCCUAGAGGCCGGUGGAACUCCCGGUGUAGUGGUGAAAUGCGCAGAUAUCAGGAGGAACACCGGUGGCGAAGGCGGAUCUCUGGGCCGAUACUGACGCUGAGGAGCGAAAGCGUGGGGAGCGAACAGG
rnacentral:rRNA from 1 species